GACGUAGGGCGCGAGCGUUGUCCGGAUUUAUUGGGCGUAAAGAGCUCGUAGGCGGUCUGUCGCGUCGGCUGUGAAAACCCGGAGCUCAACUCCGGGCCUGCAGUCGAUACGGGCAGACUGGAGUUCGGCAGGGGAGACUGGAAUUCCUGGUGUAGCGGUGAAAUGCGUAGAUAUCAGGAGGAACACCGAUGGCGAAGGCAGGUCUCUGGGCUGACACUGAGGCACGAAAGCUAGGGGAGCAAACAGG
rnacentral:rRNA from 1 species